rnacentral:misc_RNA from 1 species
GUGCAUCAGGAGACAAUGGUGCAGCUGAUGAAUAUCGUUCUGGCUUUCUGGAUUCUACCCAUUUAAAGAUGACCUUUUUAGAUGGCAACUCCACUGGGUAUAAAUAAGUAUAAGCAUUUAUUUCAUCAACCAAAGAGUCCAUUCUUAGAUCUUCCUCUGCAAGGGACCCCAAAGAUGGAAAGAAAAUAGAUAUGGAAGAAGAUAGACCAAAAAGCACGAAAUCCCUCCUGAAAAACCCAUCUAG